GUCUACAGCCAUGCCACCCUGAAUGUGCCCGAUCCUGUCUGAUCCUGGAAGCUAAGCAGGGUCGGGCCUGGUUAGUACUCGGGUGGGAGACCACUUAGAAAUACCAGGUGCUGCAGGCA
rnacentral:rRNA from 1 species